rnacentral:misc_RNA from 1 species
GAUGAAGAACGUAGCGAAAUGCGAUAAGUAAUGUGAAUUGCAGAAUUCUGUGAAUCAUCGAAUCUUUGAACGCACAUUGCGCCCCUUGGUAUUCCGAGGGGCAUGCCUGUUCGAGCGUCAUUAUAACCCCUCAAGCUCAGCUUGGUAUUGGGGCCUGCCAUCCUGGCAGCCCUUAAAAUCAGUGGCGGUGCCAUCCGGCUCUAAGCGUAGUAACUCCUCUCGCUAUGGAGUCCUGGUGGAUGCUUGCCAUUAAUCUUUUAACUUCUAUGGUUGACCUCGGAUCAGGUAGGGAUACCCGCUGAACUUAAGCAUAUCAAUAAGCGGAGGA